CCUACGGGGGGCUGCAGUGGGGAAUAUUGGACAAUGGGGGGAACCCUGAUCCAACCAUGCCGCGUGUGUGAAGAAGGCCCUCGGGUUGUAAAGCACUUUCAGUGAGGAAGAACGCCUGGUGGUUAAUACCCAUCAGGAAAGACAUCACUCACAGAAGAAGCACCGGCUAACUCCGUGCCAGCAGCCGCGGUAAUACGGAGGGUGCGAGUGUUAAUCGGAAUUACUGGGCGUAAAGCGCGCGUAGGUGGCUUGAUAAGCCGGUUGUGAAAGCCCCGGGCUCAACCUGGGAACGGCAUCCGGAACUGUCAAGCUAGAGUGCAGGAGAGGAAGGUAGAAUUCCCGGUGUAGCGGUGAAAUGCGUAGAGAUCGGGAGGAAUACCAGUGGCGAAGGCGGCCUUCUGGACUGACACUGACACUGAGGUGCGAAAGCGUGGGUAGCAAACAGGAUUAGAUACCCUGGUAGUC
rnacentral:rRNA from 1 species